GACCUGCGAGGCGAAAGAGGAGCGGCGCACAGAGGAGAGGAGCGGCCGGUGUUCGUCGGUCGAUUGGAUCCACCGGGGUGUGUGAAAGAGAUGGGAUGGGACGCGUCGGCCGUUCCCAGACCGAUCGAUCACUGUCGCUCCUGAAAAAAAUUCGCUCGAGGGGGGAAGGGGAUCCGCCGCCGCACGCGAUUCUGAUCGACGCCAUGGCCGCUCGUUUAAGCGAAAGUGCUCCGGCGAAGUUGUGCCGCCGCCGGCACCGCCACCACAACCACUACCGCUCGAAGUCGGUGGAUCUCUGAGACAACCCCAUGCUCCGAUCUGAACGGGGCGGCCGGACUGCCUGCGUGGCGGUGGACGACGUCGCCCAGGCCAACAACAUCAUCCAGCGCCUCAACGACUUCCCCUCCAUGGCGCACAUCUCCGGGAUGGGCCUCAAGGUCGUGCCGAUGAUCGCGGCCUUCUCCAACCUCUGCGCAGUCAACCUCUCCGGCACCGAUGAUGAAAUCAUUUCUGCUAUCGCUGCAUUACUACAUCCUCCGCCUGCUCAUAUCAUGCUGUGAAUUGCCCUGCUCGUUUGCUCAAAGGUUCUGUAUCCCCAGAAUGUAUGUAUCACUCGGAACUGAGAGUCUGCUCCUGGACAGGUACAGUUGUUUUCUAAUACCUACAUCUUAUAUCUAUGCACCAUCGAGGAUCUGAAAUCAGUUGUCCAGUUUGUCCCUCAAAGAACGUAGUUAGUCCUUUUCCUAUGGUGUAAGGACAUUCGUUUCGUAUACAUGAUUUCCCAGCAGCAAUUUAUACACAAGCUAACUCCAAAGAGAUGACUGAUCAGGCUAAUCGCAAAGCUAUUCAGGGAGGAAAGGCGUAGUACUAGAAGAGGAAAAGACGCAGAUCUUGUCAUCUUGACACCUGACACUUGAACCAUCUUGCCAAAAUAUCUGAAAUACGAAUUUGUGAAAAUGUUCUACCAUACUCUAUAUCCAUCUCAGAUUAAAUUCCAAACAUGCAACCCACUUUUAAGACCGUCAUGAAAGAGUUGAGAUGGUGGUCCUUUUAGGACACCUUUUUUUGUUACUAUAAGAAAUUGUCUUCGUAUUUAUUUAUGUAUGUAUAUUAUGAACAAAUUUUCAUCCUACAAUGUUUUUUGGGUUAUUACUUAUUACUUACUAACUGGAGCACCUCAUGUUUUUAAAAGGGAAACUAACAUGAAACAACUUAUUUCAGUAUGUUUAUCUUCCCCUGUUAUGUAUAUUUAGUCAAGUUUAGCCUUUGCGAUGGAAUUGUAUAUAACAACAUUAGUUGUCCUGUUCACUUUCAUCAAUGAACAACAAAGAUUUAACCGCCAGAAAAAAAAAGAUAUGGAUUAGCAUCCCUCUGGACAAAUAAGAAAAUGCAAUCGUUUCAAGGAUUUCAGUCAUCCCUUGUGGCUUUAGGAACUAUAUAACAACAAUGUCCGUAUGUAUUUUUAUACAGUUUUUUCUUCUAUAGUUAAGAUUUUCUUGUGCAAAGUAUCUAAUAUCAAUCAUGUACAUUUUUUUGUACAUGCUUAUACCUUCAAAUAAUAGAGCCAUUUUACUGAACACCUAAAGGCAAUAACAAAGGCAAUUUUUAUCCCUUGUGGCUGAAUUUUUUCUGAAUCAGUUUAACUGUGUUGGUCGUACAAUUUGCUCGGAGCAAGAACAAAUUCAACAAGGUUGGUUUAGCUGUGUUGUUUCCCCCCCUUUUUGGUUCGGGCUUGGUUGGUUUAGCUGUGUUAUUUCUCCCCCUUUUCAGGCCGAGUAUCCCUUGUCUGUCUGCUCCGGGCACCAUGUUCACGCCUGUCUGCGUUCGUGUAAUGUGUUGUACCCCCCACUGUACUCGUUCUACUUCUUCUAUCAAUAAAAUGAUACGCAAACUUUGCGUAUUCGCGAAAAAACAAAUUCAACAAGGCAAUAAAACAAAGCGUGGAAUACCUAAAGGACAUCCAAUACUCUCAGGGAAUUCGAGGAGGUACUGCUCUUUUACUGAACAACAUGGUCACGCUUUUUUAUUGAGAGAAGCAUGCUCACCUUGAGGCAUCCUGAAGUUUUGUGCGGCCAUGUAUGACGUUGUGAUAGUCAUGUGCUGAUUUUGUGAGAUAUCAUUGUGUCCUUGACUUUGAACAUCAGUUAUAAAUAAGACGAGAAGUUGUAUCGAUAGCAUCGGUUUUAUUCCCUUGCAUCAAAAUGAAGAAUUUCCUCGCUAGAUUUUCAUAACAUAAAUAUACCACCCGGAUCGCUGCCGAGGGUUCUGCACUCGCUGGAUAUGUCACGGAACAAGAUAACAAAUGUCGAGGGACUCCGGGAACUAAUGAAGCUGCGCGUGCUCAACCUCAGCCACAACUGGAUUUCAUCCACAUCGGCCUGGGUACAUACUUGGAGAUAACAUGAUGGUAAGAAGGCAAGAAGCAGGUACAUGUAUAGGUGGGUUUUUGGAGUCUCAGAGGGGCACAUAUGAAGUAUCCACACCAAAGCAUGUCGAGUACCUCAUGGCUUGUAUCAGUGCCCAGCUUGACGGCGAACUAUUCUCUGAAAAGCUUGCUAAUGAAUCUCUGUUCAAUUAUUAGGGGCUACAUUCCUUCUAAACUUCUGCGGCGUUAUCAACGCGAUCUUAAAGUGCAAGGUGUGUGCGCACAUAUAACACUUACCAGAUUAUUGUGAAUCUUAAGGAAGGAGCACAUCUCAAGGCUAAGCAUUUUGCGCUCUUAUAUUGGGUAAUAUCCGCUCUUUAAUACACAAGAAGUUCAAUUCUGGAGUAGUUGUCAGGAAAGCAAAGAUCUAAGUCAAGUAAGGGCAUCUUCAGUUACUAUUUUUGCAGCAUGUCUGAAGGUAAAAGUAGCAGCCUGAUGCCAUGUACAACACUACAAAAUGAAGUUUUCCAGCAUGAGUGGCAGGAGAUGCAAAUCAAGAAAAUUGCAUACUGUAAGGUGUGCUCCUUCAUGUAGCUACAUAUAUUGUCUUGGUUAAGGAAAUUCUAAAAUGAAUGUUUGCUGAAAUUCUCAUGUAGAUUUAAAUAUUGGCUUUGAAUCAUGUUUCAAAUACCAGGAUAUAGGUAGCCUUGAAAGAGAUCAUGAGAACCUGGAAGGUCAUUGUUCAACGUUCUCAAUAUUACAUAUCAUAUAGUUGCGUGAUGCCCUUAAAUCUUGAGUAACUUUUGCUCAAAGUUGGGGAAUUUGUGAGGCCAUUUUGGACGCUAUGUGUUCAUGGUGUAUACUUUGUAUAGUGAUUGGUCUUACUACUGAAGCUGACAUAUUUA